AUGUCUUCUCAUAUCACCCAAGACCUUUUGCCAGAGCAGGGCAUACAAGAUGCAUUCCCAAAAUCAACAUGGAAAGGAUGUGGAAAUUGUGGCCUUGACAAUUUCCACUGGAGGAAAGACUGGGGAAAUGUAGAUGAGUGUAAAUUGCAGAAAGAAGAUUAUAAUGGACUUAAGCAAUGUUCAUCAACUACCCAUAGCAAAAUCUUUCGAUGUAAUAAAUGUGUUAAAUCUUUAAUAAUUCUUCAAAUUUAAAUAGACAUAAUAUAAUUCAUGCUGGACAGAAGCCUUUCAAAUGCAAAGAAUGUGGUAAAUCCUUUCAAAUGUUCUCAUUCUUAACUGAACAUCAGAAAUUCAUACCGGAAAAAAAUUCCACAAAAUGUAAAGAAUGUGGCAAAACCUUUAACCAGUGCUCACACUUUACUGAACGUGAGAACAUUCACACUAGAGAGAAAUCUUACAAAUGUCAAGAAUGUGACAAAGUUUUUAAAACUUGCUCAGUCCUUCCUAAAAACAGAAUUUACACUGCAGGGGAACAUUACAAAUGUGAAGAAUUUGGCAAAGUCUUUAAACAGCUCUCCCACCUUACUGGUCAUAAGGAACAUGGUGCUGUGGAAAAAUUCCACAAAUGUGAAGAGUUUGACAGUAUCUUUCUCUCUUGCUCAAGGCUUUCUAAUCAUCAGAUGAUUCCUGCUGGAGAGACGCUCUCCAAAUGUGAAAAACUGCACAAGUCCAAGUCUUUCCAAAUAGCAGAGAUGUGAGACUGGAGGGAAACCUUUCAAAUGUGAGGAAUGUGACAGCAUCUUCGAAUGGUUCUCAGACCUUACUAAACAUAAGAAAAUUCACACUAGUGAGAAACCAUACAAAUGUGAAGAAUGUGGGAAAGCCUAUACACAGUCCUCACACCUCAGUGAACACAGGAGGAUUCACACCGGAGAGAAACCCUACCAGUGUGAAGAACGUGGGAAAGUCUUCAGAACUUGCUCAAGCCUUUCUAAUCAUAAGAGAACUCAUUCUGAAGAAAAACCCUACAUGUGUGAAGAAUGUGGCAACAUCUUUAAGCAGUUAUCAGACCUCACUAAGCAUAAAAAAACCCAUACUGGAGAGAAACCCUACAAAUGUGAUGAAUGUGGAAAGAACUUUACCCAGUCGUCCAACCUUAUUGUACAUAAGAGAAUUCAUACUGGAGAGAAACCCUACAAAUGUGAAGAAUGUGGCCGAGUCUUUAUGUGGUUCUCAGAUAUUACCAAACAUAAGAAAACCCAUAACAUAAGAAACCCAUAUUGGAGAGAAACCCUACAAAUGCGAAGAAUGUGGAAAGAACUUUACCUAGUCCUCAAACCCACAGGGCAACCUUAUUGUACAUAAGAGAAUUCAUACUGGAGAGAAACCCUACAAGUGUGAAGAAUGUGGCAAAGCCUUCACCCAGUUCUCACACCCGACUGUACAUGAAAGCAUUCAUACUUGAGAAAAAAAUAAACAAAUAUAAAAAUAGGCAAAGCUGUUAGUAUCUGCUUGCAUCUUACUUUAUAUCAGAGUUCAGACUUAAUAAAGUUAUUAUAA